rnacentral:rRNA from 1 species
UACGGAGGGUGCAAGCGUUAUCCGGAUUCACUGGGUUUAAAGGGUGCGUAGGAGGGCAGGUAAGUCAGUGGUGAAAUCUCCAAGCUUAACUUGGAAACUGCCGUUGAUACUAUCUGUCUUGAAUAUUGUGGAGGUGAGCGGAAUAUGUCAUGUAGCGGUGAAAUGCUUAGAUAUGACAUAGAACACCAAUUGCGAAGGCAGCUCACUACACAAUCAUUGACUCUGAGGGACGAAAGCGUGGGGAUCAAACAGG